AACGAACGCUGGCGGCGUGGAUAAGACAUGCAAGUCGAACGGGUUUUCAUUUGUAGCAAUACAGGUGGGAAUCAGUGGCGCAAGGGUGCGUAACACGUGGGCAACCUGCCCUGGAGACUGGGAUAGCCCGCCGAAAGGCGGAUUAAUACCGGAUGCGGCUACCAAAGGACUCUUUGGGACGCUAAAGGUGGCGCAAGCUACCGCUCUUGGAUGGGCCCGCGGCCUAUCAGCUAGUUGGUGAGGUUACGGCUCACCAAGGCGAUGACGGGUAGCUGGUCUGAGAGGACGACCAGCCACACUGGAACUGAGACACGGUCCAGACACCUACGGGUGGCAGCAGUCGAGAAUUUUUCUCAAUGGGGAAACCCUGAAGGAGCGACGCCGCGUGGAGGAUGAAGGUCUUCGGAUUGUAAACUCCUGUCAUUGGUGAACAAGAUUCUGCCGUUAACUGCGGUGGAAUUUGAUAGUAGCCGAAGGAGGAAGGGACGGCUAACUCUGUGCCA
rnacentral:rRNA from 1 species